GCCCCUUAGACUGGGAUAACUCCGGGAAACCGGAGCUAAUACGGGAUAAUAAAGAGAAUCACCUGAUUUUCUUUUGAAAGACGGUUUCGGCUGUCACUAAGGGAUGGGCCUGCGGCGCAUUAGCUAGUUGGUAAGGUAACGGCUUACCAAGGCGACGAUGCGUAGCCGACCUGAGAGGGUGAUCGGCCACACUGGGACUGAGACACGGCCCAGACUCCUACGGGAGGCAGCAGUAGGGAAUCUUCCGCAAUGGACGAAAGUCUGACGGAGCAACGCCGCGUGAGUGAGGAAGGCCUUCGGGUCGUAAAGCUCUGUUGUGAGGGAAGAACAAGUACCGGGGUAACUACCGGUACCUUGACGGUACCUCACCAGAAAGCCACGGCUAACUACGUGCCAGCAGCCGCGGUAAUACGUAGGUGGCAAGCGUUGUCCGGAAUUAUUGGGCGUAAAGCGCGCGCAGGCGGCUUCUUAAGUCUGAUGUGAAAUCUCGGGGCUCAACCCCGAGCGGCCAUUGGAAACUGGGAAGCUUGAGUGCAGAAGAGGAGAGUGGAAUUCCACGUGUAGCGGUGAAAUGCGUAGAUAUGUGGAGGAACACCAGUGGCGAAGGCGACUCUCUGGUCUGUAACUGACGCGA
rnacentral:rRNA from 1 species